UGCAGAGGUGGCAAGCGUUGUUCGGAAUUACUGGGCGUAAAGGGCGCGUAGGCGGCCAUCUAAGUCAGACGUGAAAUCCCCCGGCUCAACCGGGGAACUGCGUCUGAUACUGGAAGGCUAGAGUUUGGGAGAGGGAUGUAGAAUUCCAGGUGUAGCGGUGAAAUGCGUAGAUAUCUGGAGGAAUACCGGUGGCGAAGGCGGCAUCCUGGACCAAUACUGACGCUGAGGCGCGAAAACUAGGGGAGCAAACGGG
rnacentral:rRNA from 1 species